rnacentral:misc_RNA from 1 species
GAGAAGAGAUAUGUCCAUAAUAUGUAAUGAUACUGAAAUCAGAGCACAGCUGCGAUCUCCAAAAUGUCAGCAUCCAUUCAUGUAACAAGAAUUAUCGAAGAAACUGGCUGUUGCUCUCAUAUGUUUCUUACCAAACCCUUGCAUCCUGGAAAAUCUUCAAGAAGGAUUUUUUUUCCCCCUUUUUUCAGGAUGCAUCCUAAGUUUUAUUGACUGGGUUUCACUCUUCUCGCUCAAAACUCAACAGAUAC